CACCAUCAAAUAUUCACCUGCAAAAAUUCACCUGCAAAAUUCGCCUGCAAAAUUCAACUGCAAAAGUGUUGAACUUAAAUGACCCAAGCCAGAGCAAUCAGCACUAGAUCGAGUCGAGCGGCUCUCAGCCAAUUAAAUUACGCUGUUUGAUCACAUCACACCGUUAGCCAGCAGUGUGUCUCCUGAAAAGAGAGCUGAUUAGAGAGGCAGUUUUGAAUUUAGGAGUGGCAAGAUGGCAGCGGCAAACCCUGGCGGUUCUCCGGGUUCGUGGCAACCACGGAUGGGGAAAAUGUGGAGGUUGCACGGCUGAUGUUUACUGUUCAUGGCACAGGAAGAGGCAGUUUUAUUUCAGGAAUGAGUGAGCACAAUCAAAGAAUAGAGCGACUGUGGAGAGACCUCUGGGUGGCCAUUACAUGCUUUACUACGAUGUUCUUCACAACCUUGAGGAAGAAGACCUUCUUGACAUUUCAAAUGCUGCACACCUCUUUUGCUGCCAUUACGUCUUUCUUCCUCGACUGGAGGAUGAUUUUAAUACAUUUUGCAGUGGAUGGGACAACCAUCCACUGCGAACAGAAAACAACAUGAGUCCCAACCAGCUGUGGGAGUUGGGUCACAGAUAUCACCCUGUUCCUGUUCCAGAAAACACACAGCUUAUCACACAUUUGAUUUCCAUGUGUGACGACUGCAAGUGUCCAGAGUGAGGACAGACU